rnacentral:ncRNA from 1 species
ACCACCUGAGUUGGGUAUGACUACCUGCUGAACUUAAGCAUAUCAGUAAGCAGAGGAAAAGAAACAAACAUGGAUUCCCUGAGUAACUGCGAGUGAAACGGGAAGAGCCCAGCGCUAAAGGUUGUUGGCUUCUGGCUGAUGACCGGUGUAGCGUAUAGAACCUUCGUUCGGCUUGUUCAGGCUGGCUUAAGUCUCGUUGGAACGCGGCGGCUAAGACGGUUUUACCCCGGUAAACCUGGCUGGACUUGGUGAGUGUUGGUUCUGGGAGUCGGGUUGUUUGGAAACGCAGCCCAAAGUUGGUGGUAAACUUCACCUAAGGCUAAAUACGACCGCGAGACCGAUAGAAAACAAGUACCGUGAGGGAAAGUUGAAAAGUACUUUGAAAAGAGAGUGCAAGAGAACGUGAAACCGGUGUAAUGGAAGCGAAUGGAGCCGACGUAUCUAGUGCGUAUUCAGCCUUCUGGGCGCGUGAUUGGUGUUUGUGCAUUGCCGCAAGGUGUGCCUGGCGCUAUUGUCGCGUGUUCGGUUGGUGCAUUUGCGUACGGAGUGCGCCGGGUUGUGUGGUGUUGUCGGACGAUGCGCGUUUAGAGGACCCGGGCUUCGGCGCUGGGAACCCUGGGCGUGUGGAGUUCGGUUGGCGCUGCGCAGCUUUGUGGAGACGUGGGUUUUUCGCGUGCCGCGGUGUCGACAGGCUCGGUUCGGGUGGUACACAUGUGUGCAGCCCUUAUGGGGUCGGUCGGUGUUGUGGUGUGCUCUGCGUUCUUCCCGGUGUUCAGUCGGUGACCCAUUCGACCCGUCUUGAAACACGGACCAAGGAGUUUAUGGUAUGCGCAAGUCAUUGGGUUUGUCGAAGCCUAAAGGCGUAAUGAAAGUGAGACAUUACUUGUCUGAACGUGACUGGGUGCGGCAUUCGUGCGGCCCAAGCAUCAUCGACCGAUCUUGAUGUCUUCGGAUGGAUUUGAGUAAGAGCAUAUUGGGUGCGACCCGAAAGAUGGUGAACUAUGCCUGAACAGGACGAAGCCAGAGGAAACUCUGGUGGAAGUCCGAAGCGGUUCUGACGUGCAAAUCGAUCGUCUGAUUUUGGUAUAGGGGCGCAAGACUAAUCGAACCAUCUGGUAGCUGGUUUCCUCCGAAGUUUCCCUCAGGAUAGCAGUGUUGUUUUCAGUUUUAUGAGGUAAAGCGAAUGAUUAGAGGCCUUGGGGUUGAAACAACCUUAACCUAUUCUCAAACUUUAAAUAUGUAAGAAGUCCUUGUUACUUAAUUGAACGUGGACAUUCGAAUGUACCAACACUAGU